rnacentral:rRNA from 1 species
UAGCCUGCAUGUCUAGCACAAGCCGAUUAAUGGUGAAGCCGCGAAUGGCUCAUUACAACAGCCAUAGUUUCUUAGAUCUUACUUUUCUACUUGGAUAACUGUGGUAAUUCUAGAGCUAAUACACGCAAACAAGCUCAGACCUUACGGAAUGAGCGCAUUUAUUAGAACAAAAACCAAUCGGAUCUCGGUCCGUCAUUUGGUGAAUCUGAAUAACUUUGCUGAUCGCACGGUCAUCGUACCGGCGACAUAUCUUUCAAAUGUCUGCCUUAUCAACUUUCGAUGGUAGUUUAUGCGCCUACCAUGGUUGUAACGGGUAACGGAGAAUAAGGGUUCGACUCCGGAGAGGGAGCCUGAGAAACGGCUACCACAUCCAAGGAAGGCAGCAGGCACGCAAAUUACCCACUCCCGGCACGGGGAGGUAGUGACGAAAAAUAACGAGACGGCUCGCUAUGCGGUCCGUCAUCGGAAUGGGUACAAUUUAAAUCCUUUAACGAGGAUCUAUU